GCUGAGGAAGAGGAGAAAGAUCCUGGCUCCACAGAGGACCUGAUGCAGCCUGGUUUCAUUUGGGAAUUGGAUGUGGCUGUUAAAUUUCUCCUACGUAAAACAUCAGUGACAAUUUGCUUGCAUUUUUUCCAAAUAGAUUUUUCACUCAGAAAUACAGUUGGAUUUGGAAAAGUAAAACUCAGAAAAAGACCGGCUAUAGAUAUUUACCAUGUUAUUUCAUGCUCCAAAACUUUCAAGUUUAAUAAAUUAUAAUCUUAGAAAAAUCAGCGUAGACUGGGGAGAGGUCACGUUAGGCCCCAUGCAGAGUUUGCUGUUCAAAUGUGCUAGUCUUUUCAGUGCUGUAAGGUGAAGGAAAUCCAUUCACGUGUGCCAAGACAGCAGCAAGACUCCCUAGAAAGAGGGAAAGCAAGCAUGCUUGUGGAUUGACUAGUGUGAGGAGAUCCUCCUAUGCACUUGUCAAAGGUUUCUUCAGGUAUGUUAAUGGAUUGAGUGGGAGAUAUAUUACCUUUAUUAUGAUGAGGUUAUUCUGCAGGAAGUUCUGCCUUCUUCCUGGACCAUCAGUAGCAAGGCUGCAUAGAAUGCCGUAGCCUGUCUUCAGCAUUUUCCAUUUCUGCCUCACGCCUGCUGGGACCUCUGCUUUGAGAAGUGUGAGGAGCAAGGCUCAAUGUAUCUGACCACACGUGUAUUUUCUCCUGUUGAGAAGCAGCUGGCAGUGAAGAUCUAUUUGCUUUCUCUCUAGACUCAUCACAUUUUUCAAGGCUGGAGGAAAAAUGUUACUUUUGGCAGUCCUGCCUGUGAUGUUUGACAGCAGAGGUGCUGAAUGGGGGUUGUCUGAUACUUACUCACUUUCUAAUCAACUUUUGAAGUCACUAGACAAAGCACAGUUCUAAUAAAGUGUACCAAAAAAAAAAAAAAACUGCCCAGUUUUUGUUCUAGUUCGUUAUACUUACAGCUUACAUACUUGAAAAUUACUGAUCUGCAAGGCAAAAAAGUUCUGGUCGUACCCCAUCCUCAUCUAAAACUAAAGCAUACCUAUACAUUGUAGUUUACAUAAAAUAUCAGUAUUGUUUAGCUGUUCCACACAAAGCUUCCCUGCGGGUUUUGGAGCUAAGGUUAGCUUUCCCUUUUUUAGUUUAAUGCUAAACCUGACUCUUCUACAGCUGCUGAGCUCACUGGCAUUUCUUUUCACCAAUUAAAUCUGACUGCUUCAGUGUGGAAGGACCAAACACGAGAACCCACUGGCAGACACAGCAGCAGUUUCAUUCAUGGCAUAUAAGCCCAGAGGGCAAGUGUCAGGAAGCCAGCAAUCCGUUAAAUGCAUUAUCUGUGUUAUGCAAAAAAUAUUUCUUACUAGUUCUCUUUUUUCAUGUUUUGGUUUAAAAGCCUAUUAUUUUGUGAAAUGUAAUUUGGCUUGCUACAUGGAAAUGUAUUAGUUGAGUAGAUAGAUUCUUCUGUCUUGUCUUGGAUAGUUAAAAGGGUUGUUAGUCCAUUUUCUUCAGGGCAAAUACGGAUCACCAUAAAGGUCAGAAAGCAAUCGCCUUCCAUGGUGAAGCAAUACUUGCUGUAAUAGUUGGUGUAAUCGCAGUGAUUAAUUUUCAAGUAUUUCAUAUUGUGGUAGCCAAGGCUUCUGAUUCGGUAGGUUUCUGCACCAUCUGUGUCAGACUGUCUUUACAGAAGAUAGUGAGUUGUACGUAAAGGUUUGCCUACAAAGCCUUCAGUAUUAGUCACAACCAGAAUUAAGUUACCAAUCUAAAUGGGCCAUUGAUCAAACUCAGUGCAACACUCCUGCUUCCGUAACCAAGAGCUGCAAUUAAAUAAAUGGCCUCAUCUUCCCUGAAGCCUUCCUUAUUACACUGAGUGUUCUACUUGCCCAAGGUGUUUCAAGGUGCGGUCACUGCACUUUAUGCCUGUAUAUGUCACUCUUUAUGGUACUAGUUACUGGAAAUACAGGCACCAUGCCUUUCAAUAAGGACUCAACUCAGGAAGCAGCCUGCCAAAUGUGAGCAUCUGUAUGCUGAAUGGAUCACUUUCAGCCUUUAUACUGUCGCUUCCACCAGUGGAAAGUGGCUGUGAAGUAUUGUAAAGGCUUCCUGAACAGGAAAGGUCUUGGGUCUUUAUCUGUGCCAAUGAGGGAUGAGAUCAUGCGUGCUGAGCCACUGCUUUAUCUUUUAAUAUCUUACGGUUCUGCUCUUUAGUAUGAUUGUAUUCUUAGCAGCUCUUCAUAUCAAAGGUAUUUUUUGCAGUUUAGUCAUAACAUUUUUUCUGUAAUGCUUGUAUAAAUAUUUGACUGCUUAUGUAUCUAUCUGUUGAAGAUGUGCCUCAAGUCUUAUGCUUGGGUCCGAC